UGACUCUAGUUUCUCUUCAUUACGCACAAGCCUUUCGCCUUUUACUAAAGACUUCCAGGGAGAGGAACACGGAUUAAUUCAACGUAUUUUUGGUAAGGUGGCAGGUAGCCUA
ensembl:snRNA U5 U5 spliceosomal RNA